UGGCAGUAGAUCAUCACUGUUGUUCUUUGC
rnacentral:piRNA from 1 species